UCCACAGACGCCGGGAUUCCUCUAUGGCUUCUACUUCUGUUUAUACAUUUUCCCAAGAUUUUCAAAGAUUUUUCUCAUCUGUCUUUCAGCAGAAAGGAGUGGGGGAACGUGGAAACGUGUGAACAGACACAGAAUGGUCAAUGAAGUCAGAUGAACAUUUAUUAUAUGCCGCUCUCCAUACAAAGUGCUUUAUGUGGAUUCCAUCUACUCACCUUCCCGUGGACAGAUAAGGUACCCACAGUGGAAAACCUCCUGCACCUGUACACCAUUCAACAUGUCCAACAAUAAACCUAGUAGCAUGACAGGUAACAGCAAAACAGAAAACAAACCGGGAGCCUGGGUGGCUCAGUGGGUUAAGCCUCUGUCUUCGGUUUACGUCAUGAUCUCAGAGUCCUGGGAUGAGCCCCGCAUAGGGCUCUCUGUUCAGCAGGGGG